rnacentral:rRNA from 1 species
UACGAAGGGGGCUAGCGUUGCUCGGAAUCACUGGGCGUAAAGCGCACGUAGGCGGCUCUUUAAGUCAGGGGUGAAAUCCUGGAGCUCAACUCCAGAACUGCCUUUGAUACUGGGGAUCUCGAGUCCGGAAGAGGUGAGUGGAACUCCGAGUGUAGAGGUGAAAUUCGUAGAUAUUCGGAAGAACACCAGUGGCGAAGGCGGCUCACUGGUCCGGUACUGACGCUGAGGUGCGAAAGCGUGGGGAGCAAACGGG